GAUUGGAAAAAAAGCAGAUAUCUAUCUUCAAUUUGUAUUGCAAUAUGUGACACAAAAGUUUUCUUAUUUCCUAUUUUGCAACAGAUCGCUGUAGAUGAUCACAGACAAAUGCCAUCGCAGCAUUGCUGACUAUCUCAGUCUAUCUGUCAUUUUGAUUUAGGUUAAAAUGAGAAUUAGGGAUUUAGAUACGGCCGGACUUCGUACACCGACUUUACUCCGUGAAGCGAACAAAGAAAACCCUGCAAAUAAAAGAAAACCCUGGGACUUCCCAUCUAUCAUGAUGCACACGUACUCUGGGGGUACGAGGUUAAGGAAAUGAUUGAGGAGAUUGGAUUUGACAGCACUUAAGGACCGUAUUUUCAAAUUGAAAUAAAUUACCCGAAAAAAUUGACAUGAACUUUGGCUUCACCUCGCUUUACACCAUCCAAGAUCAGGAGCAAACUUCGAUACUUUCUCGUCCAUUCAAGAGAAUGCCAUUGAUCAGCUGUUACAGUAUGGUCAAUAAUCACACUACCUUCACCUUGGAGGAUAGAAAAAAUAAUUAAGAGAAAUGAGGAUAUUACUGCAUGUGAUUUAAUAAGGUGCUGGCGAGAGAAAAGAUGCGCUACCAAUUGCUAUGUGUCAAGCUUAGUAAACGCUUUCAUUCCUGACUUUGAACCAUCAAAAGCUUGUUUUCACUCAAUUACUAACCUGACCCUAAGUUCACAGUCAUCGUUAAUUUUUGUUUUAUUAUUUCCAACUUCACAUAAUCGUGGCGAGCCUGCGAACGAGGAAACCAGCCGGC